CCGGUUUGUUUAUUAUUUUUGAUAAUUUUGUUGAUAGUUGGAAAUUGGACAAGUGAUACCCUGAUUUUAUCUUAACAUGGAGGACAACGGAGGCAUUUAUGCAUUUUAGAUUUGAAUGAGUUCAUUAUUAUUAAAAAUAAUAACGAUUUAGGGAGUUUGAACCUUGAUUCUCAAGCUAACCAGCUAAAAUAUGUUAUGCCAACACAAGUUUUAACAGUACCAACACCAACUACUUCAAUAGAUGGACGUGGCGUUGAAUAUAAAUGGAAUGAAUGUUGAACUAGAAUUCUGAUUGAUUUUUAUAAAAGUAUUAGAAACAAAGUUGGCACUUUCGAAGUUGAGAGUAUUAAGAUUAUGUGUGGGUAAAAAUUGUAGAGGAAAUAUGUAAAUGCAAGUAACUGCAUGAAUCGUUGGAGAGUUAUUGAACGGAACUACAAGAAGUAUGUUGAAGAUCAAAAUAAGACGGGUUUUUUAUAUAUUCUUUACAUUUUUGGGCGAAGGCGAAAAUUUUUUGAAUACAUGUCCGAAAUUGAGGACAUUUAUGGAAAGAAAAAAUAAUAUCCUCCCUGAAAUAUUAUUAGGCAGUGAAGAUGUGGAUACUCAAGAAUUUGGUCCUGCAGAAGAAAUCGUAGAAAAUGAA